rnacentral:rRNA from 1 species
GGGUUGUGAGGUUAAGCGACUAAGCGUACACGGUGGAUGCCCUGGCAGUCAGAGGCGAUGAAGGACGUGCUAAUCUGCGAUAAGCGUCGGUAAGGUGAUAUGAACCGUUAUAACCGGCGAUUUCCGAAUGGGGAAACCCAGUGUGUUUCGACACACUAUCAUUAACUGAAUCCAUAGGUUAAUGAGGCGAACCGGGGGAACUGAAACAUCUAAGUACCCCGAGGAAAAGAAAUCAACCGAGAUUCCCCCAGUAGCGGCGAGCGAACGGGGAGGAGCCCAGAGCCUGAAUCAGUGUGUGUGUUAGUGGAAGCGUCUGGAAAGGCGCGCGAUACAGGGUGACAGCCCCGUACACAAAAAUGCACAUGCUGUGAGCUCGAUGAGUAGGGCGGGACACGUGGUAUCCUGUCUGAAUAUGGGGGGACCAUCCUCCAAGGCUAAAUACUCCUGACUGACCGAUAGUGAACCAGUACCGUGAGGGAAAGGCGAAAAGAACCCCGGCGAGGGGAGUGAAAAAGAACCUGAAACCGUGUACGUACAAGCAGUGGGAGCACAGAGCAAUCUGUGUGACUGCGUACCUUUUGUAUAAUGGGUCAGCGACUUAUAUUCUGUAGCAAGGUUAACCGAAUAGGGGAGCCGAAGGGAAACCGAGUCUUAACUGGGCGUUAAGUUGCAGGGUAUAGACCCGAAACCCGGUGAUCUAGCCAUGGGCAGGUUGAAGGUUG